AUAUUGUGAUCCAGGCUUUGCCCAUUUGGUCCAGGAGGUUGAAAGAGAGAAUGCCAUUAAUCUCAGCAGUAAACACAUUGAAGUGAAUACGGUCUCAAAAUGGAGGCACACACUUUUGCCUACUUCCUUUUUGUUCAUAAGGAGCACUUAGUUCCCAGAAGGGGACAAAGUCCUGGUAAUCCAUUCUUGUUAGGAGUGCUUGUUCCUACACUGUGUUAAUACCCACUUGUCUCCAUUAUCAUGAAGGAUGUGUGCUCAUAAAAAUUUAAUGAAGAUCUGCCUGUCCAUAAACCUCACAAAAACAGCUUUUUCUUAUUCUAUUCAGUACUGUCCCUGACCUCCUGGAUUCUCAAAGGAGAGAAAGCACAUCUCCAUUUCACUGGGAGAGAACAGAGCUUCAAGAGUGAUAAUACCUUCCAGGAGCUUCUUACCUGGAGUAAGAAGCUUCAAGAGAAGAGUAGGACCAAAUCUCAAGGGAUACAGAGAAGGAGCCAGAACAACAUAUUUCAUUAGUUAGUAGAAUGAAAACUAAAUCCCAAAUGUAUUUUUCAAAAUAUUCUAGACUCCUUAGAACUCGGCCUCACUCAGUCUGCUGAACUCAGUUUUCUGAACUGAAAUGUACUAGCUCCUAACAAGCCGUAAAAGUACUUAAUGGUUAUCAACAGGAUGCUGUUUCCUGGCCAAACCAAAUAGACACCUGGGUUUGACGGUCUGGGUUGAGCUGGAAACAUCCAGUGUGUGAGUUCUGCAAGCAUUCUAGAUUUGGAAAAUGCCCGCGAUGUCUAAGGUUGGAAGGAAGGACCAGCGGAGGUUUCUGCCACUCAUGUCACUCCUUUUAUGAGCCUUCGUUUACUCACCUGUGACAGGAUUGUGUAAGGGAGUUGUGAGAAACAAUUAGAGAAACAUUGCAAAGUGUUUGCAUGAACAAAUUCAUCU